rnacentral:rRNA from 1 species
UUCCCGGUCCUUGUACACACCGCCCGUCACACCACGAAAGUCGGCAACACCCGAAGCCGGUGGCCUAACCCUUGUGGAAGGAGCCGUCGAAGGUGGGGUCGGUGAUUGGGGUG